GUCACAUAAAACUUAUGGCUAAUGAAUAUUUUCGAAAGUAUGUUUAUUUUGGAUUUUAGAGUAAUUGACGGCAAUUAAAAGGGUGACCGAUCCAGGUAUCAGCAUCCUAAGAACCAGUGCAAGUUGAAAUGGACUUCCAGCCAACAACUUCAACAGCAAUUUGCCAUGAAAAUCAGCAAGAAAGGUACUUCAUUUACAUUGAUGAUGUCAUAUCCCCUGGACCCCACAACUUUACAGGUUACAGAGAAAAUUCAAGAACUUCUGCAAAAUGUGGGACUUGGAUAGAAUCAAUAAUGUAUUUGUGAGCCCAGAGCAAUGGAUAUAUUGUGCAACAUAGUAAAGUGUGAAUUUAAUGGAAAACAAGUGCAUGUACUCAUGUAUUACAUGUUUUCACCGGAAUUUCUUCAGCAACUGACCACGUGUCUUAGUUUCGUAUUUGCACCCAUUUAUAUGCUAGGAAUCAUGGUGACACCUACAUGUUGUAUAUCAACAUUUUUAUUAAGCACUCAGCUACAUUUGACAUGCAUCCUAAAAUUAUUGUGUACAUUUUUACACAUGUAAUAUCACUUCAAAUAUGGGGUAUUUCCAUUUUUUGAAAAAGUUGACCGGACCUAUAGUGCGAAACUGUCCCCUGCUACCUUACCCACAGGAAUUUGCGUUUAUUUCAUUUUAAACAUAAUCUCUUGUUAUGCAAUUGAUCGAUUAGCAGGCGUGCGUAAGCGCCGAGCAAAGUCCUAAAUUUAAAGCCGUUCACCGGUCUUGGUAACGUCUCCAUAUGAGUAAAAAAUUCUCGAGAGAGAUGUUAAACAAGAUACAAUCAAUCAAUCCAUGGGUCAAUUGGGUGGAAAUCUUUAAAUUGAUAUUAAAUAUAAAGUUGUUAUUUAAACAUAUUUGGUGCACUAUGCUGUAUAAUCAUAAUUAUCAAUCUCUUAUAAUAGGUAAUCGGGUCUGGUUAUUAUAAAAAAAUGUAUGAAAAUAACUGAAUAUUAAUGCAAUCAUUGUGAGUGCAAAAAGGUCAAUUGCAAGAGCACAUACAUAAAAUUUAUGCAUUGGCGGAUAUAAAGGGGGGGGGGGGGGGGCAACCGGCGCGAGCUCCCCUAAAAUUUUCAAGUUUAAAAUAAAUCGUGGUCUCUUGUUUAGAGAAAUAUAUACGAUAAAAGAAGCCAUAAUUUCCUCCACUCUCAGAGAAAUGUCUGACAAAAUCUUUUGAUUUAUUGAAUUACUUUUAGAGGAAGAACUGCUAUUUUUUCCAAAAACCCUUAAUAUUUGCGUUAUUUUAUUAAUUUCACCUUAUUAAAAAUGACAGAAAAUAAUAAAAAUGACUACAUAGAAGACAUAUUUUAAGCCCUAUAAAAUCUGUAAAAUCCAGGAGUUUC